UACGAGGGGGGCGAGCGUUGUUCGGAAUUAUUGGGCGUAAAGGGUGCGUAGGCGGUUUGGUAAGUCUGAUGUGAAAUCUAUGGGCUCAACUCAUAGUCUGCAUCGGAAACUGCCGGGCUUGAGUGUGGGAGAGGUAAGUGGAAUUCCUGGUGUAGCGGUGAAAUGCGUAGAUAUCAGGAGGAACACCGGUGGUGUAAACGGCUUUCUGGACCAUAACUGACACUGAGGCACGAAAGCGUGGGUAGCGAUCCGG
rnacentral:rRNA from 1 species